UGAACGUCACCUUCUUGAGAAAC
rnacentral:miRNA from 15 species